AUAUGCAAGUGACAUGACACUACCUCAGAUGACAGUGGAGGCAAGAGUUGAUUUAUGGUGGAAUGUUGUGAGAAAGACUCAGAGGUACCCAGCGCUCUGCAAGCUUGCACUGUCUGCACUAUGCCCAUUUCAUGGUCCACAGGUGGACCGGAUCGGAUGAUCUGGCAUACACAGACUCAUGGCCAAGCUAGCACUGAACAGCCCUGAAUUAAAGUCUAUCGAACAGGGGGUCAAGAAUCGGUUCAAAUGGAGCUGUUUGCUGGAGACUGUCCAAGUUGAGGGAAACACUUUCUCACUCAAUUGCUUUAGCAAAAUUAGAGAACCAGGCAAAGCUAUUUGCAACAUUUGCAACCACCCUAUUAACUAUGGCACAAGUGGGAAGAUUGCACUCCGGAAACAUAUGAUGCAUCCAAAACAUGUGAAACUGUGGAAGAUCCAACAGCAGAACAUGCACAUUGAGAUCACACGAGCUGAUAACAUCAUUGUUGCGGCUCCGCACAACAACUCGGCGCAACCCAGAUCAAUUCCUUCUCUAUGCAACCGUGUUGCUCAGGAUCAAGCACUCAUUCUUGGAUUCAUUGCUGAAAAUUCUCUUCCCCUGUCAGUCACGUCUGGGAUUAUUAAAUUGGCUCAAGAGUUGGCCAAAGAUCCAAAAGCACUUGCUGAACUGUCAAUGGACAGGACAUCUGCCUCAUACAAGCUCACCCAUGGUGUGAAGAAGACUAUCCUGGAUGAAGUACUUGAGGAAAUCAGAAAUGUCCCCUUCUCCCUCAACAUAGAUGAGGCCACAAGCAAGACAAACAAAAGAGUAUUAGGUGUGCUUGUCAGCUACUGGUCCGAGAAACAUGAGAGGAUGGUUGUCCAACACCUUGCAGCUUUGGAGCUCAUAUCUGUAACGGCAGAAUCUCUCUUCAGUGCACUGGAUGGGCUUUUUGAAAGGAUGAAUCUCCCAUGGGAUAAUCUGGUGUCAAUUCUCAUUCUGUGCUGUUAUGAGGGGCUCUAAAAAAGGCUUGGAAAAGAAGAUCAGAGACCGCCGUGCCCCUCAUCUCCUUGACAUCGAUGGUGACUCAUGUCACCACCUUCAUAAUGCCAGCAAGAAAUUGUGCUGUCCUUUUGAGCGUUGGGUUGAGUCUUUGCUGUCAGACCUGCACACAGACCACAAAUGGUCAGCUGACAUGAAAGAAAUUUGCAGCAUAUUUGGAAUCCAUUUCUCGCAGCCAGAGUGCUAUAUUCCACACCGGUGGCUCUCAGUCUUGGAUGUCAGUCUGGAAACACUGCGAAUGUGGGAUGCACUGGUCAUGUUUUACUAUGCCUUCCUGAGCAAUGAAGAUAAGUGUACAUACAAGGACAUUGUCAGUGCUAUUCUACAGAAGCGUGAAGUACAGGGAACAGGCAGGGCCCGGAUCAAGGAGUUGUGGAAGGAGUUGGGGAACAGGUCCAAGAACUUCACAAACGAGGGGAAGAUGAGGAAGGUCAGGAUUUGCAAGAAGGUGCUAUUUGAGGACAAGAAAACCCUUCUUGAGCUCCACUUCUAUUCAGCAGUCCUUCCCAUGCUGAAACAUUACGUCCUGCUUUUUCAGUCCAAGGACCCAAAGGUUCAUAAACUCCAUGAUGAGCAGGAGAAACUUGUAAGGGAGUUUUUAUCUUGCUUCAUCAAGCCAGAAAAAUUAAUUAACAGCAAAGGAAGGAAUCUGUCUGGGCCAAAGAUGAAGUUGCUUGACCUGACAUCGACAGAGGCCCAUCUCGCAGCACCUUUUGUUGGCUCUGAGGCCUCAUCCCUCCUUGACCAACUAGGGAGGGAACACCCUGUGGUGAAGGCUUUCAAAACUAAGGUAUGGUAUGGCUUUAUUUAGGUAAAACAUUGAAACAUGUCAUCGUAAGAUGAGAAUAGCCUGUGAAAGCGAAUUAAACACUUAUUUCCAACAUGGUCCUCAAUAUUAGACACGACAUAAUGACAUCACACCAUAACUAUACACAUUUAAUUCAUUUAAAAGAAAAACACUUCCUAAGCAAUUUAUCUUGGAGCAGGCUCCACAUAUACAGUAUGUCUUUACUUGUUUCUUAAACUGUACUCUAUUUAUAAAAGGUAAUCCAAGCCUACACCAGCUGUGCAGGUGACCUUCAAACAAAGCUACCUCUUGACAGUCCAACCCUAAGGACUCUGUCAUGCUUGGACCCAGAUGCACGGGGAAGCCAUCACAUUCUUCCUCAUCUCCAGAAGUUGCCGAACAUGUUUCCAGAUGUGAAGCUUAAUGAACUGGAGAGAGCUGGAUUUCAACAUGAAAUACACAGGUGUAUAUAAUUGUUGGAAUGCCAUUUACACAGAUU
ensembl:lncRNA